CCCUAUUAUGCAUAAUGUUAUAAAAGUUACUAGAAUUAGGAGAAAAUUAAAAAUUUUGGCGGUUUUAUUAAAAAUUAGAGGAGCUUGUUUGAAGUUAGAAUUUACUCUUUAAAUUUUAAUAUUAAUUAGGUUUAUUCAUUUCUGUUAUAAGAAGAAAUUUGUAAUAUUUAUUUUAAUAAUAUUUCAGGUCUAGAUGUAGCAUCUAAUAUUAAAAAUUAGCUACAAUUAUGUAAUAUAUGGAUUAUAAUACUGGAUUGUUAUAUUAAAAUGAAUUUAUUUGUAAUUAUAGUUAGAAUAUUAUAUUGAUUAUAUUAAUUAAUGU
rnacentral:rRNA from 1 species